UACUUGAUAUAUAAAUUAUAAUUAUAUAAAUUAAGCAUUAAUGAUGUUUAUAUAAUUUAUACAAGUAUGGAAAGAAAUUAUUAUAGAAUUUAAGCUAUAUAUUAAAGAGAAUUAUUUAUAUAAAUGUAUAUAAUAUAUGCAUGAUAUAUAUUAACUCUAAGAGAAAUUAAAUAAUAAACGAAGUGAAUUGAAAUAUCUUAGUAACUUUAGGAAAAGAAAUCAAAAGAGAUUCUAUGAUUAGCGUGAGCUAAAGUAGACAAGCCUAAAAAGUAAAAUGGUUAAUAAACUGUUUAAAUUAAAUGGGGAACCUUCCUCAAAGGCUAAAUAUAAUAUAUAAGCGAUAGUGGAAAGUACCGUGAGGGAACUAAAAGAAAAAUAGUGAUUUUAUAAGCAGUUCGGAAAAAUAAAAAAGUUAGAACGUACCUUUUGCAUAAUGGGUCACCAAGUUAACAUUAGAUGCGAGAUUAUACGUAGUUAAACCGAGCGUUAAAAUAACGUAAAGUGUCUAAAGUUAGACCCGAAGCCUGGUGAUUUUACCAUAAUCAGGAUUAUAAAAGUCCGAACGGAUUAUUGUAGCAUAAAUAUCCGAAGAAUUAUGGUAGGUGUAGUGAAAGACAAUACUGACCAGGAUAGCUGGUUUUCUGCGAAACCUAUAAUAGUAGGCAAUUUAAGUAUAAUAUCUUAGCAGGUACAGAAUUUAAUCUCAGACAAGACAUUAAAUGUUUUAUUUUGUACAAAUGGGGGGAUCAUGAAGAUUUUAUCCGUGAGUAUGCAGACUCGGAAUGGCAAAGAUAUAUCUUAAAUUAUCAGACAUAGAAUGAUAAGGUUGUAUGUCAAAAGGGAAACAGCCCAGAACAAGAGUUAAGGUUCCUAAAUUAUUCGUUGAGUGAAAUUAAGAAGGUUUUUAUUAAAGUCGACAAGGAGAUAGGCUUAGAAGCAGCCAUAAUUUUAUGACCUCGUAACAGAGCGCUUGUUAAGUUUUAAAAGCAUCGAAAAUUUAUCGGAUCUAAACAAUAUACCGAAACCUUGUCCAUAAUAAUUUAUAAUAAUAAUUUAUAUUAUAAUUAAAUGGGGUAGCAGAACGUUGAGCUGAAUUAUGAUUUUUAUUUUUUAAAUAAAAUUAUAACAAUUUAACUCAAGCGAUAAUGGUGACAUGAGUAACUAAAAGAAAAUUUUCCGCCUAAAGCUUAUGGAUAUAAUUAAGUAUCGGCCUCUAAGUUUAUAUUAUCUAAAGAUUUAAACGAUGAGAUAAUCUUUAUUACUAAGGACGACAUUUUAAGUGAAAAAUGUACUGGAAAAAUAGUAAUAUAUUUAUAUAUCUCCAUGUUGGUUUCACAACAAGGAGUGUAUAAAUGAAAAGUAACCGUACCUAGAAUCUGAAACAAGUAAGCUAGUAGAGAAUACGAAGGCGUAAAUGAGCUAACAAUCAUAAAGGAACUCGGCAAAUUGACUACCGUAACUUCGGGAUAAGGAGAGCUCAUUAUUCUUGAUUAAUAUCAAGUAAAGAGGAAGAAGCAUGAAAUAGUGUUGUACGACUGUUUAAUUAAAACACAGCACUUUGCUGAAAGAUUAAAAAUCUAAGUAUAGAGUGUGAUGUCUGCCCGGUGCCGGCUGGUUAACAGAUAUAAUUGGAUAUACUAAUAUCUGAUGUAGACGGAAACCCCGGUUAAAGGCGGCCUUAACGUGAGGGUCCUAAGGUAGCGAAAUGCCUUGGCCGUUAAAUGCGGUCUUGCAUGAAUGAUGUAACGAUACAACAGCUGUCUCUAUGAUUGACUCAGUGAAAUUGGAAUAGCUGUGCAGAUACAGUUUACCUCUAGUUAGACGAGAAGACCCUAUGCAGCUUUACUGUCACUAAUUAUAGAGUAUGAUAAACAAUUUUCAGUUUAUAAGGUAAUUGACUAGAUAACAAUGAGAAUCCUUUAUUUUUUUUUCAUAUGAAUGAAUUGAUUUAGGAUUAUGAGAUGUUUUUAUAACAACUCAUUUUAGUAAAUCAGCCUAGUUCAGCUUAUUUUUAUAAUAUAAGUACCCUUUGGUGAGGAACUAUCGCUAGGGGACAGUUUAUGUGGGGCACAGACCCUGUAAAGAGUAAACAGGAGUGUCUAAUAAUUUAAAAUUAUUUUGUUUGCGAUUUAAGGUAGUUUAACUAUUUUUAAUCAUAUAAAAUUAUUUAUAUGUACAUUCUAUGCUUUGUCAUAAGUCUGUAUAUAUAUUUAAAAAAAGGUAGGAUUUUCACUAUAUAGAAAUUAGAGAUAAUUAGAAAUAUUAUGUACUUAGUGACUAAUAUUUUUUAACUAUUAAUAAUAGUUAUGUUUUAAAUAUCUAAAAAGCUCAACGGCUUAAUCUUGCCUUACUGUUUGAUUAUCAACAAAUCUUACAGUUGCGUAAGCAGGGCAUAGGAUCACAAGAUGCAACAAGGAAAGAUCUUGGAUUAUUGGAAAAGCUACGCUAGGGAUGAACAGGCUAAUUUGCGCAAGAGUGUACAAAAUGAGUGCGCGGUUUGGCACCUCGAUGUCGGCUUAACUUAUCCUCAUGGAUGCAGGAACUAUGUAGGGUGCGACUGUUCGUCGAUUAAAAAGUUACAUGAGCUGGGUUAAAUACGUCGUGAGACAGUAUGGUUUCUAUCUUCUAGGGGGAAUUAGAAUAUAAUAAGAACUAACUUUUGUACGAAAGGAACAGGAAGAAUUAAACUUGUAAAAGGGUUAAAUAAUAGUUACUAAUCUAUGGUUUACCUGUUGUCUAUGUGCCCAAAUAUUAAAUAUAUUAAUUUAUAUCUGUAUUUUUAUACAUAGGGAUGUUUCUUUCACUAAGAUAAAUGUAUAGCAUAGGCACGGCAGGAAAGCUAAGUUGGUUAAAGAUAAGUGCUGAAAGCAUAUAGGCACGAAGCUUAUCUUAAGAUAUUUCUUAAAUAUGCGUAAUAGAUUAUUACGAAGGCGCAAGCCAAUUAUAGGCUUUAUCCGUACUAAUCUUGAGAUUUUAAAGAAUAAAGUACUAAUUUCAUAAAUUACUAUUUAUAAAUAUAUCAUUCAAAAA
rnacentral:rRNA from 1 species